GAUGAACGCUGGCGGCGUGCCUAAUACAUGCAAGUCGAGCGAACAGACGAGGAGCUUGCUCCUCUGACGUUAGCGGCGGACGGGUGAGUAACACGUGGAUAACCUACCUAUAAGACUGCGAUAACUUCGGGAAACCGGAGCUAAUACCGGAUAACAUGUUGAACCGCAUGGUUCAACAGUGAAAGACGGUCUUGCUGUCACUUAUAGAUGGAUCCGCGCCGCAUUAGCUAGUUGGUAAGGUAACGGCUUACCAAGGCAACGAUGCGUAGCCGACCUGAGAGGGUGAUCGGCCACACUGGAACUGAGACACGGUCCAGACUCCUACGGGAGGCAGCAGUAGGGAAUCUUCCGCAAUGGGCGAAAGCCUGACGGAGCAACGCCGCGUGAGUGAAGAAGGUCUUCGGAUCGUAAAACUCUGUUAUUAGGGAAGAACAAAUGUGUAAGUAACUAUGCACGUCUUGACGGUACCUAAUCAGAAAGCCACGGCUAACUACGUG
rnacentral:rRNA from 1 species